AAACUUAAAGGAAUUGACGGGGGAGCACCACAACGGGUGGAGCUUGCGGUUUAAUUGGAUUCAACGCCGGAAAUCUUACCGGGACCGACAGCAAUAUGAAGGCCAGGCUGAAGACUUUGCCGGAUUAGCUGAGAGGUGGUGCAUGGCCGUCGUCAGUUCGUACUGUGAAGCAUCCUGUUAAGUCAGGCAACGAGCGAGACCCACGCCCACAGUUGCCAGCGUACUCUCUGGAGUGACGGGUACACUGUGGGGACCGCCGCUGCUAAAGCGGAGGAAGGAAUGGGCAACGGUAGGUCAGUAUGCCCCGAAUAUCCCGGGCUACACGCGAGCUACAAUGGUUGGUACAAUGGGUAUCUACCCGAAAGGGGACGGGAAUCUCCUAAAACCAAUCUUAGUUCGGAUUGAGGGCUGCAACUCGCCCUCAUGAAGCUGGAAUCCGUAGUAAUCGCGUUUCAACAGAACGCGGUGAAUACGUCCCUGCUCCUU
rnacentral:rRNA from 1 species